CUUAGCUCAGCUGGGAGAGCGCCUGCUUUGCACGCAGGAGGUCAUCGGUUCGAUCCCGAUAGGCUCCACCA
rnacentral:tRNA from 1 species